rnacentral:rRNA from 1 species
AUGGAGAACGGCGAGGAGACCUUCGUGUCCCCGACGGCGGCCGCGGCGGACUUCGGCUUCGGCUUCGGCCCGGCGCUCACCAACGGCGAGGGCCACGCCAAGGCCUACGACCCGGAGGAGAUGGACGCGCUCCGCGCGGCCAAGCGCGACCUGGAGGAGAAGCUGGCCGAGGUGCGCCACGAGAACGGCUUCCUCUCCGCGGAGGCCGCCCGCCUCGAGGCGCUGGUGACCGGGGCCCGCGAGGACAUCGCCGCCGCCGACCGCGCCGCCGCCAAGGCCGAGGGCGAGGCCGCGGGGCUGCGCGCCGAGGUCAAGCGCCUCCAGGGCCUCCUCGACAGCUCCGACCGCGACGCCGACCGCCCCCGGGGCGCCGGCGGGGACCUGGCCACCGCGCACCAGGAGAAGCUCGCACUCGAGGAGGAGAUCAAGGCCCUCAAGGCCUCCGCCGCCGCCGCUGCCGCAGACAAGGAGGAGGCUGCUGCCGCUCCCUCGGCCAAGGAAGGGCUGGCGGCGCCUCACGGGAAGGUGGCCGCAGCCGCAGCCGCUGGAGCCGCCGCCACUGCAGCCAUCACGGUGGUUCUCCUCAACCUCAAGAGGUAA